rnacentral:lncRNA from 1 species
AAACAGCCAUGGUAGAAGUAUCCAUUCUGAAUGGAUGUGUUCCAAAUUGAGCAGGAUUAAAGCCACAUUCACACAGGGUGGAAUGAGCAAAUGAUCCACAAGAAAAAGACAAGACGGAGCAAGCAGAGCCGGAGUGCGGGACUGCGACAACCUUUCCCUGGUGUAAUGUCAUUGUUGGCGAUCACAUUGGCAGAAUCCUCCAGCUCAGUGAAGACAAAAAGUGUCGCUCUUCUUCUUGUUCUUUCAACUGCCAGUGGCAUUCAAAGUGACCUUGCCUUGUAAAUAUUGCUUCAUCCUUUUGUGGCCAAGGAAAGAGCUUGAGGUGAAAGAGACCACAAGGCAUCUUCAGAUUGCUGUGUCUACUGAUUCUAUAUCUUGCAAUGCUCAGCCAUUCAUCUGAUGAAUAUUUUUCCUUAAUUUCUCACAAAUAAAGAGGUAUGUGUUUUUCUUUGUCUUUUGCCCAAAACCAAAUAUUGCAUUCCAGUGAUUUCUUGAAAUUGUAAUCGUAGUAUGUGACUGUAGAAUGUUUUUAAAAUACCC